rnacentral:rRNA from 1 species
UACGUAGGGUGCAAGCGUUGUCCGGAAUUAUUGGGCGUAAAGAGCUCGUAGGCGGUCUGUCGCGUCGGAUGUGAAAACCCAGGGCUCAACCCUGGGCCUGCAUUCGAUACGGGCAGACUAGAGUUCGGUAGGGGAGACUGGAAUUCCCGGUGUAGUGGUGAAAUGCGUAGAGAUCGGGAGGAACACCAGCGGCGAAGGCGGCCCCCUGGGCCGCUCCUGACGCUGAGACGCGAAGGCCAGGGUAGCGAACGGG